CACAUGCAAGUCGCACGAGAACGUUCUGGCUUCGGCCGGGACAAGUACAGUGGCGGACGGGUGCGUAUCGCGUAGAUAACCUGCCCUUAGGCGCGGGACAAUCACGGGAAACCGUGGCUAAUACCGCACGUCGUCUGGACCCCGCAUGGGGACCAGAUGAAAGCCUUCGGGCGCCUUUGGAUGGGUCUGCGUUGGAUUAGCUUGUUGGUGAGGCAACGGCUCACCAAGGCAACGAUCCAUAGCUGGUCUGAGAGGACGAUCAGCCACACUGGGACUGAGACACGGCCCAGACUCCUACGGGAGGCAGCAGUGGGGAAUCUUGCACAAUGGGGUCACCCCUGAUGCAGCCAUGCCGCGUGGAGGAAGACACCCCUAUGGGGCGUAAACUCCUUUUCUGAAUGAAGAAACCCCUGUAGGUUCAGGGCGCGACGGUAGUUCAGGAAUAAGCACCGGCUAACUCCGUGCCAGCAGCCGCGGUAAUACGGAGGGUGCAAGCGUUGUCCGGAAUCACUGGGUGUAAAGGGUGUGCAGGCGGGGCAACAAGUCGGAUGUGAAACCCCAUGGCUCAACCAUGGAGGUGCAUUCGAAACUGUUGCUCUUGAGUCCCGGNGAGGCUGUCGGAAUUCGUGGUGUAGCGGUGAAAUGCGUAGAUAUCACGAGGAACACCAGAGGCGAAAGCGGGCAGCUGGACGGGUACUGACGCUCAGGCACGAAAGCGUGGGGAGCAAACAGGAUUAGAUACCCUGGUAGUCCACGCCGUAAACGAUGAACGCUCGCCGUUGCCCCGUCAAGGGGCAGUGGCUAAGUUAACGCGUUAAGCGUUCCACCUGGGGAGUACGAUCGCAAGGUUGAAACUCAAAGGAAUUGACGGGGGCCCGCACAAGCGGUGGAGCAUGUGGCUCAAUUCGAUGCGACGCGAAGAACCUUACCUAGGCUCGAACGCUAAAGGACCGCUCCUGAAAGGGAGCUUCCCCUUUGGGGCCUUUAGCGAGGUACUGCAUGGCUGUCGUCGGCUCGUGUCGUGAGAUGUUGGGUUAAGUCCCGCAACGAGCGUAACCCUUGUCGCUAGUUACCAGCGGGUAAUGCCGGGGACUCUAGUGAGACCGCCUGCGCAAGCAGUGAGGAAGGUGGGGAUGACGUCAAGUCAUCAUGGUCCUUACGCCUAGGGCUGCACACGUGCUACAAUGGCCGGUACAACGAGCAGCCACCUCGCGAGAGGGAGCGAAUCUCUGAAAGCCGGUCCCAGUUCGGAUUGGAGUCUGCAACUCGACUCCAUGAAGCAGGAAUCGCUAGUAAUCGCGGAUCAGCAAUGCCGCGAUGAAUCCGUUCCCGGGCCUUGUACACACCGCCCGUCA
rnacentral:rRNA from 1 species